rnacentral:lncRNA from 1 species
AUUCAAGAUGGAGGCGCUGAGUCGAGCUGGGCAGGAGAUGAGCCUAGCGGCCCUGAAGCAACACGACCCCUAUAUCACCAGCAUCGCAGACCUCACGGGCCAGGUCGCUCUGUACACCUUCUGCCCCAAGGCCAACCAGUGGACUGAUAUAGAAGGGACCUUAUUCGUAUAUCGAAGGUCAGCUUCCCCUUACCAUGGUUUUACCAUUGUGAAUCGACUAAAUAUGCACAAUCUAGUUGAACCAGUGAAUAAAGAUUUGGAAUUUCAGCUCCAUGAACCAUUUCUUCUGUAUAGAAAUGCAAGCUUGUCGAUAUAUAGUAUCUGGUUUUAUGACAAGAAUGACUGUCACCGCAUAGCAAAACUCAUGGCUGAUGUGGUAGAAGAGGAGACACGGCGAUCCCAGCAAGCUGCUCGGGACAAACAGAGUCCCAGCCAGGCCAAUGGCUGCAGCGACCACAGGCCCAUCGACAUCCUGGAGAUGCUGAGCAGAGCCAAGGAUGAGUAUGAGAGGAAUCAGAUGGGUGACUCAAAUAUCUCCAGCCCUGGGUUACAGCCAAGCACUCAGCUCUCCAAUCUGGGAA